CCCCCCACAUGCACUCUGGCUCUCUCUCCUUUUGUCCCUCAUGCACACGCACUCACACACACACACACUCUCACACACACACACGUAGCGUGUUGGUGCAGCGAGUUACGUGUGAAAAGUUAUCUGCGGCAUGCGUGACACGCAAGGAGAUUCCUGCCAACGUCAGGGCCCUUUUUUGCCAUGCAGCAACAAGUGGCAGAAUCAAUGGUUGUACAGUUAUUCAGCAAUGUAAUUCAUUUCACUGGCUUUGGCUCCCAGCCAGAUCCGCCAUCUGUCUCUUGCUCUCCCUCUCUCUCUCUCGCCUGAAUUUGUCCUACAUUUCGUAAUGUUACGUGCUUGCCAUCCUUAUUCUAUGUCAGAGGUACAGCACGAGCCUCACCCCCGUUCCGACGUGGAGUUCUGUGAGUUCGGUGGCACUUUGGAUAUUCCACUCCAGUGCCAUAGGAAGAAAAGGAGUAUCUUCGUUUUCUUUAUUGGAUGCUGGCACUGUACGCCACUGCACAGCUCCGUGGAAUGCCUGCUGUUGGAUACUUGCAGAUCCCUGCCACCAAGCAACCUCCUGCAUUGGAAAUCGGGUGACUACUCCAGGAUCUUAUGCGUGCUUGCUGUUUGAAGCUGCAGAAAAGUGAAUAAUCAAUUAAGUAUUGAUUUCUUGUAAGAUUUGGUAAAUUUCAAAGGCAAGACAAAGAGGAUGGCUUAAGGAAAGCACUGCAGGGACUUGGCGUAAAUUAGACAACUAACAGCAGUGCAGAAUAAAAUAACACCUCAACUGAAUAUUUCCUUGGAAGAAUUAGCACUAGCUAUUGGAAGACGAUGGUGGAUUUAAUCAAGACGGCAGGCACGCUUGAGUUUUAACCGUGAACCUGAAAGAGGAGCUAAUUAUAACCACCUUUUUAUAUGGAGCUAAUUUGACUGAAUGGAUGCAAAUGUGCUUUAUUUAUGGAUGAAGAAGCAAGCCUUACAGCAUUGACUUUGGGAUCAUCGCAUAUGCUAAGCUUUACAGCUCCUCUAAAAGUCAAGCCUACAGUACAUUUUUAUUUACUGAGAAGGUAUUUAUAUGUAAGCAUAAGCUAGCCGUACAAAAGAUUCAUCAGAACAAUGUACUGUGUGGCACCGAGGAUCUAAUUAUAAUUUUGCAGCAUUUAAUGUUUUCUCUAAUUUGGUACUUUUCAACCCUCGCUUGUGAUGGGCUAUAAAUGGGACAAUAAAUGUAUGAUUUAAACUAUUGUGAUUUUCAUUGUAUAGUUUAUUAAUCGUACUGUAGUUUUCUUAACGUGUUUUUGAAUUAUUCAGCAGUAAUUUAUAAUGAAAGAAGCAGAAAUGGUGGGGUGGUUUUAAAUUCAUUUAUAAUCUCACAGAUCUAAAUGUACAGGUUCUACCAGCCGAUGAGCUCUAUAAUUAUGAAAGAAUGUUUAAAUUUUCAGAUAAAUGGGGCACUGACUUUACAAUGGGCAUAAUAUUGUAUAAUCAGUAAAAGGAGGAUUGUUAUGUUUUGACUCUGUGGAGAAUGGUCUUGGUUAGUUAACUCCUUCUAUGCUGAUAAUGAUAAGCAAAUGUACUUUAUAUAAGAAAAUAGAGGGAGAAUGUAAUGCACUGGUUUGAUGUUUUGCUAGUCUGAAACCUUAGCAUUUUUUUUUUUUCAUUUAUUUCCAUUUCUGUUACUUUUCUUUUUCCUAUUUGCUUCUCUGGGUUUUGUUGAGGCUUUUUUUUCCUCCUGUCUCACAAUCUACAUUCCCUGAGCAACCACAGGAACCAAGUUACAUUAAGCUUCAACACAAAGACGAUGUAAGAAUAAUGAAUCCUCAUUUGCAUCGACAUUUGUAUUCAGAUUUGCCAGGCUAUAAACUUGGCAGAUCAAGCGGAAUAUUAAGUAGAGGCUUCCAUGGUAUAUUGCGACUCUUGCAAUUGCUGAGUCGUUUUUCCUAUAUUUUGCAUGUGUGUGUGUGUAUAUGUGUGUGUUUGUGUGUGUUUGUGUGUGUUUGUGUGUGUGUGUGUGCAUGUGUGUACAUGUGCAUAUCUGUAGUGGCAGGUGAAGUCUCAUGACUACUUGGUUUCUGAGAAGCACAUUGGCCCUCUUUCUCUUUCAGUAUAUGAUGUCAGUUUAUGCAAAAUGAAGCAGGAAUACUCAGGCAGUGAGCAUUUUAGCUGAAGAUACAGGGUGACAUAUGAAUUAAGUAUUCACUUGCUUUUCUAGAGACUGUGUGAAAGAAUUCCUUAAACAAAUAGAUAAACACUAUUGCAAAAUUACACAGAUCUUUUGCAUCAGCUAGUGGCUUGAUUUCACUACAUCUAGAAUCCAAAGCAAAAACUCUGUUGUAGUGUUGAACAUACCUGCUGCAUUAUACUGUUUUAUUUGUGGUGCUGCUGCAUGUAUGCAUGUAUGCUUCCAUGAAAAACUUGGCCUUGGUUCAUCUACCAUCAGCUGCUCUUCACUAUGGUUUGGUUGGACUGUCUCCAGCUUUACAGCAGUAUGUGCAAGAGCUAAGUUGGCCCUUCUCUUCCAGAGUUGGAUAUCAAACCUUUUCCUUCAUUGAUAUUUGCUGAAGAAAAGGUGGUCCUACAUAAUCUAAUCCAUUUUUUCAACAAAGAGGAAACCUCUGGAUGAACCUCUUUCAGAAUUAAUAACUGCAAAAAUGGAGCAUUUACCUUAUGAUUCUCCUGUUUAAUUUUGUAUUACUGAAAGUAAUUUAUUUCAGAAGUAGUGAAAAGAUACUUAGUCAACAAGUGCUAAAAAUGCUUCAAGACUGACUUUUACUAUCCACAGAUUUUCAAAUAUUUCAACAAAAUCCUCUGGAGAGAACUUAAGAGUGACACUGAAUUAGGCAAUGCAGGCAUGCAGGAAAUACUUCCAGUCUCUUCUUUUUGCAUGUAUCCCCUUCCUACCACUUCCAUAACCACAGACCUAACAAGAAUGUCACUACAGUCCACAGUGUGUGUUUUCACAAUUUGUAGUUGACUUCUAUGUUAAAAAUGAACUAUUAUAGAAAAAAAAAAAAAAAAUCCUGGAACUCAUUCCAGUCCUUUCUAAACAAGUCAAAGGACUGAUUUUAAAAACUUAAUCUGUUGAUGUUCAUUUAGUUAAUCCAUUGAAAAUCAAGUGCAAUGCAAUGGCUGAACCUGUUGUAAACAAUAUUAUACUCUAUAAGUAUUGGCUACAAUUUCAGCUGAGAAAACUCUAUCAGCUUUGUUUUCUAUAAAAAUACACAAAACCCUAAUACUGUUUGGAUUUACUUUAAUUUUGUUUUUAGACUAUAAUGGGAUAAUUGAUCAUGCAGGAAAUGGUCUGUUGUAAUGCAGCAUUCACUGAAGGAGGAUGAUGCUCUGUUCAUGUAGAACAGCAACUUGUGGCAAGCAAAAGCAACUAUGAAUCAUUACUUGUUUGCUAUUUUUGAGAAGCUUCAUAACUAUAUUCUUUUAUUAUGGAUGAAAAAAUGGAAUAUGGUCUUUCCUUUCUUUGAAAGAGUAUUCUGAACUACAUUUCCAAAAUGGUGCUUAAGGUAAAAGGGAAAGGUAGAACUUACAAGGUAUGUUUCCAUACUUUGCUUCCUUAUGCACAUCAUCUUGAUGAAAUUAUAUAAAACUUGGUUGUUUGGGUUAUUAUAUGUACCUCCCACUAAUUGUUUUGAAAAUUUACCUUAAAGCAGCUUAAAAAGUGUCUUUUUCUGAGAAAGGAGAAACAGUAUCUCAGUAGCUUUCAAAAAAUACAAAAUAAAAUUUUUAAAAAUUGAAAAUAUAUUUAAGUUCCAAAUUUAUAAGGAAUAACAGAUUGAUAGACUGCAAUGUUUUCUUAGACAGGAAUUUGCAAUAGUCAUUCACUACGUGAAUUCUUUGAAAAAUUAAUGCCUUCGGGAGUUUCUUUGUCCCCAUAAAAAAUUCCCCAACUUCUUGCUCUUUGACUAUAGAACCCAAAGAAAGGAGAGAUGAGUGAAAAGUACUGUAGGCUCCAAAAAAUUUAUCAUAUUCACUGACAAAAAGAUAAAAACACCUGGAGAAAAAAAAAAAGUAAGGUGAAGCUAAUGUUCCCUGAGAGAAACUCCAAUCUGUUGUCUGGCCUUUUAGGUGUACAGAGUAAAACACUGUAGUGCAACAUAUUUAAAAAAUGUAGUGGUGAUGUAUAUUCACCACCACUGGACAGAGUGAUGGCAGGCAGUCAGUGCAGGCAUAGUAUGUGGAUGCUUUAGGAGUAAACUCAAGGCCUGUUACAGUAUUUCAGUCUAGCUCAUGAUGUUGCUGAAGAAUUUAGGAUUCCAACAAUACAGAGCUCACUACAUAUAGCAAGGGUCAGAUCUGCUGGCCCAUAGCAUUUAAAGGGAAGCUAUAAUUAUUUUACCAUUAGUCCUCUGAUCAAAGAUCCUUUUGUGUAACUUACUGCUGUGAUGAGUAUCACUCAAAUUUUGUAUUUCUUACUGGCAGCUUGGUUGUCUGUUUCUCUCAUUGGCGUGGCCUUAUCUUGGGACUGAACUGUAAGUUUUCUGCAUCUGCAGGAAUGUAGUUUCUUAAACAGCAUUUUUCAGAUUAUUUUGUGCAUUAAACAGCUUUUUGAACUUGGAGAAUUUAACUGUAUCUCUUAUAUAACCAGUAAACCAUUUCCACUUCAAGUUUCUGGUUUUUGGUUAAGACAGAAAUUACUUUUUAAAUGAGUAAAUAGAUACAUAUGCAAACCAGAGAGUAGAAGAGAUAACAGAUUGAGACUCAGAACUGGCUUUUGCAUUUAUCAUUUUUAUAAACGAUAAGACUUCUUUCCAAGGUGAAACACCUGUUCUCCUGCUUUAUGGUUCCUUCAGUGGUAUGUCUUUUGAGACACCAAAUCUGUAAUCCCUGUGCACAUUUCAGUAAUUUACAACUAAAAAUUGAAUAUUUUGUGCAAGAUUUUCUAGUUUUGCUAAAGACUUUGGUGCAAAAGUGUAAUCCACUGAAAUGUGCUGUAUGCCCUACUUUGGCAUCCAAUAAAAAGUUCAUGCUUUCCUUAAUAAAAUAAAUAUACUUUCAGUAUCAACAGCUUUCACAUGGCAAACCUUUUAAUUUAAUUGCCAGAACUGAGUUAUCUAUUUUCAAUUUCAAGUUGUCCUUCAAUUACUAGAGACAAAAUUUUAAAGACUAUAAAUAUUGUUAGAUAAUGAAUAAACUGGAUAUAUACAAAAUUUCCUCAGACCUGAGAUCCUUUUCUGUGGUUUCUUACUUAUUGAAUCUUAUAUCAAAUCACAUUGCAAUCCUGUAAUUUGUGUUUAUAUAGGAUCUAGCAUAAUAAAAUUCCAGUGUUGAUCACUAUCAUAACAUAAAUAAUCCUAGAAAUGCAUAGUUUUAGACAAUAGAAAAGCUUUCCAGGGUGGCUGUUUAUUUGCAUAAUCAACACUGUCUCAUUUAGUUUAGUUCUUACUGCUUUUGGCAAAAUUCUGUGGUCAUUAAUUGUGCUUUGAAUUUCAUUGGGAAUUGUGCUUAAUGGGAACAGAUUUUGAUGCAAGGUCAGCUCUCUGAAAACCAUACCAACCCAUGCUUCAUUAUUGUCACAGUGAGAUGCAGAACAAGAAACAGAAAUCACUUCACUCUGCACUGAACUUGGCCAGAUCUAGGGUUGAAUUCAACACUUUGGUAACAAAACUCUCUAACUGAGCACAGGGGAAGGCUGAAGAAAGGAGAAUCUAAUUUUUGAAUUUUAGGUUAUUACAGGUUAGAGAUGGGAGAAAGUUUCUGUGCAAUGGAGGAACAAUACUGGAUGUUGAUAAAACAAGUGCAGGAGAUGGGAAUUGAAACAAUAUUUUUGCUGUUAACCUAAUGUCCAUAGUUAAGAGAAAGAACAAGAUGCAGAACACAAAUUCUAGUCAUUGCAACUUGCAGUGUAUAAGUACCAGUUUCUCCUGGAUUCAUAAUUUACAUUGGAACCUGCAAUGAAUCAUGGCACAUAGAAGUGGUCCUAGGCUGCAGAAAAUAAAUCUAAUGACACACCAGCUAUUACUAAUUUAGGACUGCCUGCUUCUGCUCUCAGUAAUGUAAGUGGGAGGUUUUCUGUGAACUACACUGGGAGCUGUAUUUGGGUUUAUUCACAAUACACUGAAGCUGCUUUUGCUGUACUAUGCCACAGUCAUAAGCACUCAAUAGGGCAUUUUAAAUAUCAGAAGUAUUCUGGAGCCAUAUUCAAUUUAAAGUUUUGCCAUCCUGACAUAAGUGUUUUCUUAAUAAUAAUUAGCAUAGAAGUUGAUCCCUGCAGUUUAGAAAAGUAUUUGAUUUUUCUUUUAAAAAUUGAAGUUUUUGCAUAUGAAUUGUCUAGAUAACAAACAUAUUUUCCUCUUAAGCACUUAAAAAUAUAAAUAAAAUGCUGCAAAAUAGAGGUUAAAAAGGAUCCAGCUAUGAAAUGUAUCUUUUUCAUCUUAUAUUUUUCAAAUUCAAAUUAGAUUUUCCUUGCAUUUGUGUCUCAGCAAACCAGUAAAUUUCCCCCUGAAAAUACUUGCAGCCAGAAUGAUCCUAGUGAAUUUUCAAGCCACACUAAAAACAUAUGGGGAUGAGCUGAUAUCCCACUGAUGCCUUCCAGACUCUUGACAAUAAAUGCACCCAGUACACCAAAGGAUAGAAGGGAAGGAUAUGUUGAAGCUGUUGGCCAAAAAUCUGAGUCUGGGGGGAGGAGAAAAGUGAAUCAGAGCAGACCCACACAUGUUGUUGCAUCACAGAAAAUGAAGUGGGGAGUCCUAUCAAAAGAAAUUUUCCCCAUAGGUCCACUUAGAUACCACAGAUAAAAGGAGACAGCAGUUUUUUAGGGAAGUAUUACAAAAAUGUAAGACAAAACAGAGCUUUACAGUACAGGAAAACAUUAUUUACAUUGUUCAGCAGUGCACAAAAUACUUCCUAGAAUCAAAAACUGAGUUUUUUUACUCUGUUUCCACAGCUUCACAAAUUUUCUCAGUACUACUUUGUAUUGCACUUUCAGCAAUAUUCUGUAUGAUUUUUAAGCUUCUACCAUCAAAAUUGUUUUCCAUUUCUCAUACAUACUACUUCAGCAGCGUUUCUUCUUAUACAUAAUGACUAGUACUGUCUGGACAACCCGCUGAAAGUGUUUCAGAGUUUCCCAGCAGGAUGAAAGUUAAAAACAGAAAGAAGUUGUAAUCUUCUUGAUUAUUUGCAGGGAGAUCACAAAUUGAGGAAGAAGGUUAUCUUGUUCUCAAUAAAAAUGAAGGAUUGUGAAAAAAAAAAUUGCUUAGCAUCCUGUGGGGGGUUUUAACAAGUCACCCGCUAGUUUUAUCUCAGUUAUGGAUUCCAAUCUUUUGCUCAGUCAUUUUGUUCCAAAUGAGUCUAAGUUCUGGUGUUUAUUAUUACUUGCAUUUUCUUUCCAAUUUAUGUUUUAAUCUAUUUCUACAGCAGGACACUUCCAGAUGUUUAGUUUUGUGAAGUGUUAAGCGUCUUAAGCAUAUGGAGAUCCUCUGACCUGAGUACCACAUAGGCUUUGCUUAAGAUACCUUAGUACUUUUUGAAGACUCAGUUAGCAUGUUCCAUAUAAUUAAAAACAGGCUACAAUGAUGGUUAUUCCUGAGUUUUGCUUUUAUUGGCAUUUUGCAUUAAAGCAAAAAUAAACCCCUAAAUGAACUAAAUCCAA